AGGCCAGCGACACACCAUUUUUAAAUUCAGGCUGGUAGGUACUCACUAGCCAGUAGCUGUCUUUGAUUGGUAGAUUUAGUAUUCCCAGUAUUGGUACUCACUAGCCAGUAGCUGUCUUUGAUUGGUAGAUUUAGUAUUCCCAGUAUUGGUACUCACUAGCCAGUAGCUGUCUUUGAUUGGUAGAUUUAGUAUUCCCAGUAUUGGUACUCACUAGCCAGUAGCUGUCUUUGAUAGGUAGAUUUAGUAUUCCCAGUAUUGGUACUCACUAGCCAGUAGCUGUCUUUGAUUGGUAGAUUUAGUAUUCCCAGUAUUGGUACUCACUAGCCAGUAGCUGUCUUUGAUUGGUAGAUUUAGUAUUCCCAGUAUUGGUACUCACUAGCCAGUAGCUGUCUUUGAUAGGUAGAUUUAGUAUUCCCAGUAUUGG